rnacentral:rRNA from 1 species
UACAGAGGGUGCAAGCGUUGUUCGGAAUUAUUGGGCGUAAAGCGCGUGUAGGCGGCUUUGCAAGUCGGGUGUGAAAGCCCUCGGCUCAACCGAGGAAGUGCGCCCGAAACUGCAGAGCUUGAGUACCGGAGAGGAUGGCGGAAUUCCCCAAGUAGAGGUGAAAUUCGUAGAUAUGGGGAGGGACACCGGUGGCGAAGGCGGCCAUCUGGACGGAUACUGACGCUGAGAAGCGAAAGCGUGGGUAGCGAACAGG